AUUGAACGCUGGCGGAAUGCUUUACACAUGCAAGUCGAACGGUAGAGGGGGCAACCCCUCGAGAGUGGCGAACGGGUGAGUAAUAUAUCGGAACGUGCCCAGUCGUGGGGGAUAACGUAGCGAAAGUUACGCUAAUACCGCAUACGAUCUAAGGAUGAAAGCGGGGGAUCGCAGGACAUCGCGUGAUUGGAGCGGCCGAUAUCAGAUUAGGUAGUUGGUGGGGUAAAGGCUCACCAAGCCAACGAUCUGUAGCUGGUCUGAGAGGACGACCAGCCACACUGGAACUGAGACACGGUCCAGACUCCUACGGGAGGCAGCAGUGGGGAAUUUUGGACAAUGGACGCAAGUCUGAUCCAGCCAUUCCGCGUGCAGGAUGAAGGCCCUCGGGUUGUAAACUGCUUUUGUACGGAACGAAAAGGUCUCUCUUAAUACGGGGGACUCAUGACGGUACCGUAAGAAUAAGCACCGGCUAACUACGUGCCAGCAGCCGCCGCAGUAA
rnacentral:rRNA from 1 species